AUUUUCAAGAGGAUUGUUCGUGGAUUAAUAUUAAUUGCUAAAUGUUUUUCGCAGAAGAAAAGGUGGUCGAUUUCGUGGAACACCGCGUACGAAUGGUGUCGUGAUCGUUCCCAGAAGGAUUCGUAAUUAAACGAGGAGAUCGCAUUCCGAUACAGGGGGCCGUUUCUCUUGGUGCACAUACAAUCAGCAUAAGCGAUCGUCUGCGUGCGAAUUCGGACUGAGAAUAUCGGUGCGUCUGUCCGGAGAAAAAAUAUUGUUAUAAGGCGAGAGCAUCCCCUCUCGUAAAUAUCGUACCGUUAAAACGCAUCCGAGCCGAAGAAGCUAUUCCAUCCCUUAAAUUUAAGAUUAGCCGCGUACAUCACGUUUUAAACGACGUUGAAAAAAUAUUUUGAACGAAGUGUAGAUAUCGGAUAGAUAAUAUUCGAGAAUUUGAAUUCGAGGUUAAUUAGGAUUGGAAAUUGGAAGAUAUUCGAAAGGAUCGAGCGAAUACGAAAUUUAAGAAAUAUUAGACGGCUAAAUGAUUUCUGAGUUAUUCAAUUCUUCGAUAAUUUAAAGAAAUUGCUCAAAAUUGGAUACAAAAUAGGAGGGCGUAACAAAGAAACUCGUUUCACAGUCCAUCGUAUUUAUUGCCUUCCAUCAUAUUUAGACAGAACAGAAAACCUACACAACAUCCUCGUCAAUAUUUUUCCUUCGUAACAAAAUAAUUACCAAUAAAAGAAGCCUAUAUUUUCCAAUGCACACAUUUCGAAAAGCUCGAGUCAUCCCAGUUCCCCAAGUUCCCAACCAAACCUUCUUACUUAAAUGAAUACCCAACCACCGUAUCACACACCAAAAUCAAUCCUUUCACUAAAAAUUAGGACCUCCACGAGUCCACACCCACCGAGAGCCUCCUUUUCCCAAGACCAAGGGGCCCAUUAGGCCCCUAACCAACGAGAGAUCCUUAAACGAUCUUCGAAACCCAAACCACCUCCAUACCAAACUCUCCUUAAACUCUCCUUCCAUUCCCAAAUCUAGAGCAUCCUCUAUGCCCAAAACCGAUUCCCAUUAGUGGGAAGGCAGGCCCCGAUCAGGGGAGGGAAUCGGCGCGUUUGUCGAGAGUAUUUCGCGCCUACCGAACCCGGUCCCGGAGCGCGGCUUUAAUUAAAAAUUAAUCGGCGCAAAUUAAUUUAAAUGCAAAAAGUGGGGCCCCGGGACCCGGGGCCCCGAGGGGGUGGAGCAGCGUUCGGCCGGUAGGCGGGGCCACUGAGUUAGGCGAUCGUUACG
rnacentral:lncRNA from 1 species